rnacentral:rRNA from 1 species
GCAGUCGAGCGGUAGAGAGAAGCUUGCUUCUCUUGAGAGCGGCGGACGGGUGAGUAAUGCCUAGGAAUCUGCCUGGUAGUGGGGGAUAACGCUCGGAAACGGACGCUAAUACCGCAUACGUCCUACGGGAGAAAGCAGGGGACCUUCGGGCCUUGCGCUAUCAGAUGAGCCUAGGUCGGAUUAGCUAGUUGGUGAGGUAAUGGCUCACCAAGGCGACGAUCCGUAACUGGUCUGAGAGGAUGAUCAGUCACACUGGAACUGAGACACGGUCCAGACUCCUACGGGAGGCAGCAGUGGGGAAUAUUGGACAAUGGGCGAAAGCCUGAUCCAGCCAUGCCGCGUGUGUGAAGAAGGUCUUCGGAUUGUAAAGCACUUUAAGUUGGGAGGAAGGGCAUUAACCUAAUACGUUGGUGUCUUGACGUUACCGACAGAAUAAGCACCGGCUAACUCUGUGCCAGCAGCCGCGGUAAUACAGAGGGUGCAAGCGUUAAUCGGAAUUACUGGGCGUAAAGCGCGCGUAGGUGGUUCGUUAAGUUGGAUGUGAAAUCCCCGGGCUCAACCUGGGAACUGCAUUCAAAACUGUCGAGCUAGAGUAUGGUAGAGGGUGGUGGAAUUUCCUGUGUAGCGGUGAAAUGCGUAGAUAUAGGAAGGAACACCAGUGGCGAAGGCGACCACCUGGACUGAUACUGACACUGAGGUGCGAAAGCGUGGGGAGCAAACAGGAUUAGAUACCCUGGUAGUCCACGCCGUAGACGAUGUCAACUAGCCUUUGGGAGCCUUGAGCUCUUAGUGGCGCAGCUAACGCAUUAAGUUGACCGCCUGGGGAGUACGGCCGCAAGGUUAAAACUCAAAUGAAUUGACGGGGGCCCGCACAAGCGGUGGAGCAUGUGGUUUAAUU